AGUGAACGCUGGCGGUAGGCCUAACACAUGCAAGUCGAACGGCAGCACAGUAAGAGCUUGCUCUUACGGGUGGCGAGUGGCGGACGGGUGAGGAAUACAUCGGAAUCUACUUUUUCGGGGGGGAUAACGUAGGUAAACUUACGCUAAUACCGCAUACGACCUACGGGUGAAAGCAGGGGAUCUUCGGACCUUGCGCGAUUGAAUGAGCCGAUGUCGGAUUAGCUAGUUGGCGGGGUAAAGGCCCACCAAGGCGACGAUCCGUAGCUGGUCUGAGAGGAUGAUCAGCCACACUGGAACUGAGACACGGUCCAGACUCCUACGGGAGGCCGCAGUGGGGAAUAUUGGACAAUGGGCGCAAGCCUGAUCCAGCCAUCCCGCGUGGGUGAAGAAGGCCUUCGGGUUGUAAAGCCCUUUUGUUGGGAAAGAAAAGCAGCAGGUUAAUACCCCGCUGUUCUGACGGUACCCAAAGAAUAAGCACCGGCUAACUUCGUG
rnacentral:rRNA from 1 species